AUUGAACGCUGGCGGCAGGCCUAACACAUGCAAGUCGAGCGAGCGGCGUACGGGUGAGUAAUGUAUGGGGACUGCCCGAUCGAGAGGGAUAACUACUGGAAACGGUAGCUAAUCCCUAAUACUAUCGGAUAACCCAUAUGGGCAUAGCUAGUAGGGGAGGUAAUGGCUCACUUAGGCGACGAUCUCUAGCUGGUCUGAGAGGAUGAUCAGCAACACUGGGACGGAGACACGGCCCAGACUCCAAGGGAGGCAGCAGUGGGGAAUAUUGCACAAUGGGCGCAAGCCAGAUGCAGCCAUGCCGCGUGUAUGAAGAAGGCCCUAGGGUUGUAAAGUACUUUCAGUCGGGAGGCGUUACCGACAGAAGAAGCACCGGCUAACUCCGUGCCAGCAGCCGCGGUAAUAC
rnacentral:rRNA from 1 species